UACGUAGGGGGCAAGCGUUGUCCGGAAUCAUUGGGCGUAAAGAGCGUGUAGGCGGCCCGAUAAGUCCGCUGUGAAAGUCCAGGGCUCAACCCUGGAAUGCCGGUGGAUACUGUCGGGCUCGAAUCCGGAAGAGGUGAGUGGAAUUCCUGGUGUAGCGGUGAAAUGCGCAGAUAUCUGGAGGAACACCGGUGGCGAAAGCGGCUCACUGGACCUGAUCUGACACUGAGGUGCGAAAGCUAGGGUAGCAAACGGG
rnacentral:rRNA from 1 species